rnacentral:rRNA from 1 species
UGGGGAAUAUUGGACAAUGGGCGAAAGCCUGAUCCAGCCAUGCCGCGUGUGUGAAGAAGGUCUUCGGAUUGUAAAGCACUUUAAGUUGGGAGGAAGGGCAGUAAGCGAAUACCUUGCUGUUUGACGUUACCGACAGAAUAAGCACCGGCUAACUCUGUGCCAGCAGCCGCGGUAAUACAGAGGGUGCAAGCGUUAAUCGGAAUUACUGGGCGUAAAGCGCGCGUAGGUGGUUCGUUAAGUUGAAUGUGAAAGCCCCGGGCUCAACCUGGGAACUGCAUCCAAAACUGGCGAGCUAGAGUAGGGCAGAGGGUGGUGGAAUUUCCUGUGUAGCGGUGAAAUGCGUAGAUAUAGGAAGGAACACCAGUGGCGAAGGCGACCACCUGGGCUCAUACUGACACUGAGGUGCGAAAGCGUGGGGAGCAAACAGG